CUCCUCUGGGCAGUCAGACACAGUUGGUCAGUGGGUGAGACACGUUCCGUUUCAAAGUGUGUGUGUGUGUGUGUGUCUGUGUGUGCGUACCAUUCAUGUUCAAAACAAUCAAUGCUCUUGUAAAGAUGGACUUUGAAGAUUGGUUGAGUUCCAUGGAGUCUUCCCACUUAAUCCAAAUGUAAAACAAUUGAUUAUCUUUAUUUUGCCCCCCCCCCCCCCCCCCCCCCCCUCUGUUUUCCUAUCUCAUUGUUGGAAAUUAAUGUGGAUGAACAAAAAGGAAGAAAAAAAAAAGGCAAUACUUUGAUCAUAGUACUACAGUAGAACUGUAAACACUUCCAGGAAGAACUAUGAUGCUGCAACUUGAAUGUUUGCUGAACGAAGAAGCAUUUCUGGCCCUAAUGUCAUCACGUAUCUAUUUAAGUAAUGUCUCCCUUUAACAAUAAUGAACCCGAAAGUUCUCUAUUCACUCUAAAGGGAUGCUGUUUCCCCUCCAGUGUUGUUUGUUUGCCCCCGCGUUUAUUUAGCCACUGAUGCUAGUAAACGGUGUAAUAUUGUUUAUAUAUAUUUGUUUUAAUUAUUGGCGUAACGCUUCCCCUCGUCUUAUUUUUAUGUCAAAGAAAUAAGUGCAUUAUUGGCCUUGUGGCCUACUUUGGCCUGGGCAUCGAUUUUCAAACUAGCCGGUUGCUGUCCUUCCUGCAACCGGUGUUUGUAUGUUUUUAAUUAAGUACUGGGUGCUACCAAAUAGGCUGUGGCAUCAAACCAACAUGAGCUUCGUCACUUAUGACCUUAAUUGUUCUUUUCAUUCUUUUCCACACAACAAAGAGAAAAGUUACUGGCCUUUUCAACUCCGUUACGGCACUGUAGUCUGGUGAUAAUGAGGUGUGGUCCCCGGUUCGGUUUUGCUCAGUGUUUUCAUCAUGUCUGUUUCAGCCCGUUCGAGGUGAGUUGGGGAAAGCCUUUCUAACGUCCGAGGCGUCCUCAUUCCGUUUUUCGGAAUCGGGUUUUACGCUUUGAUUCGUUUCGUUUCUGAAGGCAUUCGUACGUCUGGUGCCUAUAGGACCGGACUCGGUUGUAACCUGCAUGUCUUUAAAAAUAUGAAAGGAGCUUGUGCUUACUCAAGCACGUCCCAUUGAUUAUUGUAACUAUUUACAUGUAAUCUGUUGAACAAUGGAGGCACGGCGGUUAGGAGGAGGACCAGGAGGUCCAGAGUAACUACUUUAAGAAGCGCGCGAGUGCUUCUCUGCCCCACCUGUCACUCUACUAAGGGAACCCGGCUCUUUUAGUUUCUGGGGUGAAGCGUUGUAACAUGCAUGUUUUGUAACCUGAGCAAAGUGUAUAAACACGGUGACAAAAGCCGACCGAGAUAAAUACCCCCUUAAACUUGGCGUGACGCUUUUCUGCGAAUACUGUCUACAGCACGUACUUACAAACCCUUUUCAUUUUGUCAAAACUGUUCGUUUUGUUCUUCCAAAAGCAGCUGUUGUUGUUUUUUGUUGUAAAUGAGCUCUGAACAAUGUAUCCUUUAAUCGAAUAUGCCAAAUGUCUUUUUAUAAAGUAGAUUUCUCAUGCACUGCUACACGAAACAGGACGGAGCAAGAGGCAGCUUUAAAUAAAUGAAAAGGUGUGUCGUAGGAGCCUUUCUCUGUCGCACUCAGCCUUACAUCCCCAAGACUAUUGGCCAACUGCACUAUGGAGUGCUAGUGCUUCUCUCGCUCUAUCUCGCUCUCUUUGUGUGUGUGUGUGUCUGUGUACGUACGUUUCGUCUUUCCUUCUCAUCCCUUUAUACGAUUAGCUCUAUGCUUGGCUUAGCUGCGCUCCAAUUUCGUACCUUUUUACCAUGCUACUUUCUUCCUCAUAUUCAUACUAUUUUCUCCUUAUGUCUUUUAACACUCUCUGUCUCUCUCGUGUAAUGUUCUAGUAAUGGUAAACAGAUGUCAGUCGGUGUGGUAGUAUAUUCAGUGCUCAAGGGGUUGCUGAUGGUAGAACUCUGUGCAGUUUGUAACAUUUUAGCAAUAACGUGAAACAAGGGGACAGUUUUUUGAUAACAUAAUAGUUUGGUUUUUGUACAUAUUGCACUUCCAGUUUAUGCUCAAUUCCAUAUGUCAUUAAAGGAAUAAAAAAAAUGUGCGAUGUUGGCAUAAAAAAAUAAAGAAAUAAAGGUGUCAAAAAAUUUGUUUGUGAAAUUGUUUGCUAUUUAUAUAACAUUGGAGCAUUUAAAGGACCUUAAGUAUGCUCUAAAAUGGUCAUAUUAUCACAGAGGGCUGACUUGAAGCGGC
ensembl:lncRNA